GCCAGGUUCAAUGGCACAUGCCUGUAGUCCCAGCUACUCAGGAGGAUCACUUGAACCCAGGAGUUCUGGGCCGUAGUGCCCUAUGCCAACCAAGUGUCUGCACUGACUUCAGCAUCAGUAUGUGACCUCCCAGGAGCAGGGCACCACAACGUUGCCUAAGGAGGAGUGAACCAGCCCAGGUCAGAAAUGGAGCAGGUCAUAAUUCCCAUGCUGAUCAGUAAUGGGAGCAUGCCUGUGAAUACCCACUACACUCCAGCCUGGGCAACAUAGCAAGAU
rnacentral:SRP_RNA from 1 species